rnacentral:lncRNA from 1 species
UCAAUAUGCAUUGAUGGCCUCGAUCUGGUGAGUUGCACCGACGCUCCCCGAAGCUUCCAGAAACUGUUGCGGCGCGAGGGGAAAGAGCUAGGGUUGAAAACCCUAGCUGAUAAUUUUGGGUUUUUGGGCCAAGGUUGUAAUUGUAAUGGGUCAAGGGUGUAAACGGGUUAAGGGAUAGUUUAAAGGGUAUUUGGGCUACUGAGUGUAGGUUUUAACUUUUGGGCUGUAAAGGGACUUUUU